ACUGAUUCAGACUAGCCAUGCAUGUCUAAGUAUAAAUAACUACACAGUAAAACUGCGAAUGGCUCAUUAAAACAGUUAUAGUUUAUUUGAUAUAUUAUAUGGAUAACUGUAGAAAAACUAGAGCUAAUACAUGCCAUAACCGUAAGGUUGUAUUUAUUAGAUAUUCCUGGUAGGUGAUUCAUAAUAACUUAGCGAAUCGUGACUCGUUCACGAUAAAUCAUUCAAGUUUCUGCCCUAUCAUGCUUUCGAUGGUAGUGUAUUGGACUACCAUGGCUCUCACGGGUAACGGAGAAUUAGGGUUCGAUUCCGGAGAAGGAGCCUGAGAAACGGCUACUACAUCUAAGGAAGGCAGCAGGCGCGUAAAUUACCCAAUCCUGAUUCAGGGAGGUAGCGACAAGAUAUAACAACGUGAAGUCAAAUUCGCGAUUGUAGUGAGGUUAUUCCAAACCGAAAUUCGAGUACGAUUGGAGGAUAAGUCUUGGUGCCAGCACCCGCGGUAA
rnacentral:rRNA from 1 species